rnacentral:lncRNA from 1 species
GACAGCCUGCAAACAAAUUAUGGAAACUCAUAACUGAAUUUCACUUUGGGAUGGUAAGGAAGAAGAAGACGAGAGAAAGAAACCUCUCCAUUUGCCUUGGCUCCCUAGGGAACUCGAUGGUAAUUCCAUUUGUCCUGGAUCCCCUCCAAAUAUAAUUACACAAGGUCUUUUACAGCUUAACAAGAUAAAAUCUGAUUAAGAAAAAAGUUCGACAGUGGUCCUGAGACACGUAGAAAAGAAGAUAAUGGUAGGUAUGUCAUAGAGCAGACAAAAAGAGAUAAAGUGCAUACAUUUCCCAAAAAAAAAUGUUGAAUGGGGAAAAUUACAAAAUGAAGCUAAAUGAUGAACAUGAAGUUCAUGUGCCCAAAUUAUACAAAAGGUCCCUGAUAAUGCAAACAAAAUUCUGACCUAAACUCCUAACAGGAAAUAUGCAGGGUAAAAUCUCAAAUCAAGAGGAAGAGCAGAGGACAGUGGAGGGAAUGACAGGCUGUUAAGCAACCCAUAAAUGUUGUGCAUCUCACAUGAUUAUGGUAAAGAUACUUUGUCUUUUUCAUUAAAGGCUGAGAAUUAACUAGGUUAUGAUAAACCUUCAAGAUACAUUACUUGCAGAGUGUGAAGCUACUAUAAAAUUCCUCAGCAAGAAAGCCUAGUGGUUUGGAAGACAGAUGCGAAGUCCUCUCAUUUUGCUUCCUCUGGAGCACCCCACUCAUGAAAAUUCAAACAAUGACCCCAAAAGUAUUUUAUAUAAACUCUUAACAAACUUUUUUACAGUUUCCCCCAAUCACCCUAAAUAGACUACUGGCCUAUGGCUAUACAAAUCCUUGAUGAAUAAAGUCAUGAAAGAAAAGUCUAUUGGCUAGUAAUCAAGAUGCAUAGAAAACAUCAGCAAAAUUGCACCAAUUAAAUCCCAGUGUCAUCCACCUUGUACUGAUACCACAGAUGGUGUAUUUACCCUAUAUCAAAGCGACUAUUUUAUUUUCAACUUGAAGACAACGAAGAUUAACUGGAAAUAAAUAACAAUUUUGCAUUAGCAAGCUCCGGGAAUAUUUAACUAAGGUAUCAGUAGACCAAUACCAGUAAUGCAAAAGCCCCAGAAGAGAACAAACAGAUGAAAAUUUGUGCCGCUUCACCCAAGUUCCCAAACCCAAAUCCAGAAUACAUAUACUUCCACUUUGUAGUCAAAAGGAAAACAAAAUCAUCACCAACAGCAGAAUACACAUCUCAAUACCCAGUAUACAUAUCUAUGCUACAAAAGCUUACUUUACAAAAAGGGCCAAAUUUUUUCAUUCAAAAUCUUCUGCUCAGAAGCUUGAAACACUCUGGCAUUAUCCAAAACCGCAUAAAAACAUUUAGCACCUUGUAAGAAACAAAAGGUAGAAUAAAAACAUCGUACUAAUAUCAAAAAUUAAAACUUUACUCAACACAUAGAUCAAGACAGAACCAUGUUUAACAAAUUUACAUACAAAAAUUCAGUCUUUGCACAAAGUCAAUGAAAAUUGCACCACAAACAGAACCCACAAAGAAAAUAUGUUUAUACAUAAAGAAAAGGAAAAAAAUCUGCACUAAAAUAGACAGUGAGAGAGACAGAGAGAGAGAGAGAGAGAGUUGGAAUUUACCACUAAAAGCAGGGACGAAGACUUUACAACCGAAGUUGAAAUCUCAGCCAACAAAGCCACCAUUGCUGAGCUCAGAAGGCUUUCCAUGCCAACACUACUAGAGCACAUGACCUCCAUCUCCAACCCCAAAGCCCAAAUGCCAAGAGAGCAACAAAGCCUAGGUUUGGACAAUGAGGCCAAAGGCACGAGGGGCUCCGAACAUAAGGGUUGGAGGGAAAAUUCCUCUGAGUGAUCAGCAGAGAGAUUCCUCAAAACCCCCCAAAGAGUUUUUGCCAAAAUUGGAUUGGUAUCCAAUCAGAAUUCUACUUUUUUUUUUUGGC